AAGUCGUAACAAGGUUUCCGUAGGUGAACCUGCGGAAGGAUCAUUAUUGAAUGAACUUGGAGUCGGUUGUCGCUGGCUGUCUUAUUUGGCAGCAUGUGCACGCCUUCUCUUUUCAUCCACACACACCCCUGUGCACUUGUGAGACUGGAGACCGGUAAAAAAAAGUCUUCAGUCUGCUAAAUCCAUAUACAAACCCAUUUAAUUGAACUGAAUGUAAAUUGAUGUAACACAUCUUUAAACUAAGUUUCAACAACGGAUCUCUUGGCUCUC
rnacentral:misc_RNA from 1 species